rnacentral:rRNA from 1 species
AUGCACGCUAGCUACAGGCUUCACCCAUGCCAGUCGCGGGGAAACGACAUCGAAAGCUUGCUUUUGAUGGGCGUCGACCGGCGCACGGGUGAGUAACGCGUAUCCAACCUGCCCAUCACUUGGGAAUAACCUUGCGAAAGUAAGACUAAUACCCAAUGAUAUCCCACGAAGGCAUCGGAAUGGGAUUAAAGAUUUAUCGGUGAUGGAUGGGGAUGCGUCUGAUUAGCUUGUUGGCGGGGUAACGGCCCACCAAGGCAACGAUCAGUAGGGGUUCUGAGAGGAAGGUCCCCCACAUUGGAACUGAGACACGGUCCAAACUCCUACGGGAGGCAGCAGUGAGGAAUAUUGGUCAAUGGGCGAGAGCCUGAACCAGCCAAGUAGCGUGCAGGAGGACGGCCCUAUGGGUUGUAAACUGCUUUUAUAAGGGAAUAAAGUGGGUCACGUGUGACUUUUUGCAUGUACCUUAUGAAUAAGGACCGGCUAAUUCCGUG